rnacentral:rRNA from 1 species
AGAGUUUGAUUAUGGCUCAGGAUGAACGCUGGCGGCGUGCCUAACACAUGCAAGUCGAGCGGACCUGAUUAAGUGAUUAGCUUGCUAAGAACUUAUGACUGGUUAGCGGCGGACGGGUGAGUAACGCGUGGGUAACCUGCCUCAUACAGGGGGAUAGCAGUUGGAAACGACUGGUAAUACCGCAUAAGCGCACAGUACCGCAUGGUACAGUGUGAAAAACUCCGGGUGGUAUGAGAUGGACCCGCGUCCGAUUAGCCAGUUGGCGGGGUAACGGCCCACCAAAGCGACGAUCGGUAGCCGGCCUGAGAGGGCGGACGGCCACAUUGGGACUGAGACACGGCCCAGACUCCUACGGGAGGCAGCAGUGGGGGAUAUUGCACAAUGGAGGAAACUCUGAAUGCAGCGACGCCGCGUGGGUGAAGAAGUAUUUCGGUAUGUAAAGCCCUAUCAACAGGGACGAUAAUGACGGUACCUGACUAAGAAGCCCCGGCUAACUACGUGCCAGCAGCCGC